CCCAGAAAGUGCAGAUUGUGGGAGGAAGAUCCAUCAGGGCACCGCAAUAUGAGGACAUAAAACUAUGAAAGAGAACAUUCAAAGGAGGGGUAGACUGAAAAAAAACGUACACAAAAUAUCAGAUUCUGCCAGGAUGGACAGGGUAUUUUGCUUCAUGUGUGAAGAGAAGAGCACUGCCUGGAGGAUUCUCUUUUCCAGAAAAAGCAGAAGCCGGAGAAGCUUGCCUGACUCAGCUGUAAUGAAUGAAUAGAUGACAUCUGACUGUUAAACAGAACCACAUUUCCAAAUGCAUCUCCAAAGGGUGUGAUGGAGUAGCCAGCAUGGAUUCCCUGCAAUUACUAGACCAUGUUCUACAGAGAAUGAGUGGCUUCCUGAAAUACCCAUUCAAGACAUGGAUUCUGGGUACUGUUUUCAGACUAUUCAUAUGUUCACAAGACCUACUCGGAGCCCCUGAGCAGAUUCUGCAUUCUUCAAAUUUAUGCUUCAAGCUCUAUUUGCUCAGGAUUCUUGUAUCUACCUUCACAUUGAACCAAACACUAAUUUUGAGUUGCACACGCUGAAACAUGGAUAUGAAAUAUCUGUAAGCUGGUGGGAAGAGAAUUAAGUAAAGCAGUUAAAAGAUGCAUUGUGUGACCGUGCAUCCCUUCUUUUUUUAUAUCUGGUGCAUCUCACACUUCACAGUUGAGAGGAUGUGGAAAGAAUAAAAUUUUUGAAUUUUUGUCUCGGUGCAAAGCAUGGACAGCUGCAGCAUGAACCACUACAGGCCCUACUGGACAAGGUCUUAGCUCAGAAGAAAACAACUUGUGUGUGCUGGUGAUGUGCAUCUCUGUAUAAGCACGUUUGGAAGAAGUCUGUUUGUGAUUUGAUGGCCAUAUAAUGCCAUUGAUCCAAGAUAGAUCUGCUGUUGACUUUCAUUGAAGCUCUGUACGAGGACUAAAAACAGCGUCCAGCCCAAAGUCUGUAAUGGAGAAAAGCAAGACUCGCAACUGCAGUAUGUAAAUAUUGCACCCAUCCCAGCAGCGCUGUUCGAAGGCGCACACACAGUGCACACACACAUACAGUACAACUCAGUAAAUUCAGGUUGUAGUUUUGUGUUUCUAUCAAUUUCAUGUGACUUGAAGAUACCUAGGAAUGUCUCUUUUAGAAAAGCAAAUCAUUCUAUAUGCUUUUUAGUUCUUUAACCUGAAGAUUAACAAAAAGCUGCUCAAAAUGCUUGGUUUUGGUUGUUAUUUGUGAGACUAUCUGCCAUUCAGGAAAAGCUGUAGGGCUGUGCUUUAGGUAAUUGCUUUAACUUAAGCAUGUAUGCUGUCCCAUUGCAACAUAGUUACAGGUACAUGGAGACUACAGGUUUAGAAAAAAAAAAAGUAGGUAAAUGAGGAAACCAGCUGAAGGUCAGUGGGAGCUUUGUUUUUUUUUACAGACAGUGAAAGCACUAAGGAUUGUGACAAAUUUUUUGUGUUUGAGAGUCAGACAAAACAGAGGCAAAACUUGCAUUCUGAUGGGCUUCCAUGUUGUUUGACAAUUGGGAAAGGACGUUCUUGUUGGUUUUUAAAGUAGUGCCUGUUAAAGCGUAAUUACGCAUGGACAAAAAUGAAAGGGGACACCAGCUGUUAAUAUACUAGAUUGUGAAGCAAAAGUGAAUGUUUUUAGUUUUAUUCACAUUGUGCCUUUAACUUACUCAGUUUGGACAAAGUGGACUAAGAAAACAUUGUCACUGCAGGUCUUGUUACAAGGGUUCUGUUAUUUUCCUUUCCAGAGUGAAGUGUGAUGAUAGGGACAGAUUCACAUCUGUGUAUAAACAACCGUAAAGCCACACUUAUGUGCAAUAAAGAAGUGAAGCAAAAAAUAUUGUCUCAUAACUUCCAGGUUAUUUUUCUGGUUUAACUUUUU